rnacentral:rRNA from 1 species
UGGGUUUGACAUAUGCCGGACCGUCCUGGAAACAGGGCUUUCCUCUUUUGAGGACCGGUAUAC